CAGUCGACGCUGAGCACCAGCUUGCUGGUGUGGAUGAGUGGCGAACGGGUGAGUAAUACGUGAGUAACCUGCCCUUGACUCUGGGAUAAGCCCGGGAAACUGGGUCUAAUACUGGAUGCUACAUGUCACCGCAUGGUGGUGUGUGGAAAGGGUUUACUGGUCUUGGAUGGGCUCACGGCCUAUCAGCUUGUUGGUGAGGUAAUGGCUCACCAAGGCGACGACGGGUAGCCGGCCUGAGAGGGUGACCGGCCACACUGGGACUGAGACACGGCCCAGACUCCUACGGGAGGCAGCAGUGGGGAAUAUUGCACAAUGGGCGAAAGCCUGAUGCAGCGACGCCGCGUGAGGGAUGACGGCCUUCGGGUUGUAAACCUCUUUCAGCAGGGAAGAAGCCACAAGUGACGGUACCUGCAGAAGAAGCGCCGGCUAACUACGUGCCAGCAGCCGCGGUAAUACGUAGGGCGCAAGCGUUGUCCGGAAUUAUUGGGCGUAAAGAGCUCGUAGGCGGUUUGUCGCGUCUGCUGUGAAAGCCCGGGGCUUAACCCCGGGUGUGCAGUGGGUACGGGCAGACUAGAGUGCAGUAGGGGAGACUGGAAUUCCUGGUGUAGCGGUGGAAUGCGCAGAUAUCAGGAGGAACACCGAUGGCGAAGGCAGGUCUCUGGGCUGUUACUGACGCUGAGGAGCGAAAGCAUGGGGAGCGAACAGGAUUAGAUACCCUGGUAGUCCAUGCCGUAAACGUUGGGCACUAGGUGUGGGGGACAUUCCACGUUUUCCGCGCCGUAGCUAACGCAUUAAGUGCCCCGCCUGGGGAGUACGGCCGCAAGGCUAAAACUCAAAGGAAUUGACGGGGGCCCGCACAAGCGGCGGAGCAUG
rnacentral:rRNA from 1 species